rnacentral:rRNA from 1 species
AACGAACGCUGGCGGCAGGCUUAACACAUGCAAGUCGAACGCCCUAGCAAUAGGGAGUGGCGCACGGGUGAGUAACGCGUGGGAAUGUAUCGUUUAGUGGGGGAUAACCAAGGGAAACUUUGGCUAAUACCGCAUACGCCCUUCGGGGGAAAGAUUUAUCGCUAAACGACCAGCCCGCGUGAGAUUAGGUAGUUGGUGGGGUAACGGCCUACCAAGCCGACGAUCUCUAGCUGGUCUGAGAGGAUGAUCAGCCACACUGGAACUGAGACACGGUCCAGACUCCUACGGGAGGCAGCAGUGGGGAAUAUUGGACAAUGGGGGCAACCCUGAUCCAGCCAUGCCGCGUGAGUGAUGAAGGCCUUAGGGUUGUAAAGCUCUUUUACCGAUGAAGAUAAUGACGGUAGUCGGAGAAAAAGCCCCGGCUAACUUCGUGCCAGCCGCCGCGGUAA